rnacentral:rRNA from 1 species
AUUGAACGCUGGCGGCAGGCCUAACACAUGCAAGUCGAGCGGAUGAGUGGAGCUUGCUCCAUGAUUCAGCGGCGGACGGGUGAGUAAUGCCUAGGAAUCUGCCUGGUAGUGGGGGACAACGUUUCGAAAGGAACGCUAAUACCGCAUACGUCCUACGGGAGAAAGCAGGGGACCUUCGGGCCUUGCGCUAUCAGAUGAGCCUAGGUCGGAUUAGCUAGUAGGUGGGGUAAUGGCCCACCUAGGCGACGAUCCGUAACUGGUCUGAGAGGAUGAUCAGUCACACUGGAACUGAGACACGGUCCAGACUCCUACGGGAGGCAGCAGUGGGGAAUAUUGGACAAUGGGCGAAAGCCUGAUCCAGCCAUGCCGCGUGUGUGAAGAAGGUCUUCGGAUUGUAAAGCACUUUAAGUUGGGAGGAAGGGCAGUAAGUUAAUACCUUGCUGUUUUGACGUUACCAACAGAAUAAGCACCGGCUAACUUCGUGCCAGCCGCCGCCGUAACAC